rnacentral:rRNA from 1 species
CAGUAGCCACGGGAAUACAGAGGGUGCGAGCGUUAAUCGGAUUUACUGGGCGUAAAGCGUGAGUAGGCGGCUUCUUAAGUCGGAUGUGAAAUCCCUGAGCUUAACUUAGGAAUUGCAUUCGAUACUGGGAAGCUAGAGUAUGGGAGAGGAUGGUAGAAUUCCAGGUGUAGCGGUGAAAUGCGUAGAGAUCUGGAGGAAUACCGAUGGCGAAGGCAGCCAUCUGGCCUAAUACUGACGCUGAGGUACGAAAGCAUGGGGAGCAAACAGGAUUAGAUACCCGCGUAGUCCCUGUCUCUUAUAC